UAUCAAUACUAUUAAAACAGAAGGCUAUUUUUUGAAGUGCCCUCCUGUUUCAACAAUAUUUACAAGACAUUGCCACUAGAUUAUUUUUAAGCUAUGAUUUUAAUUAAAUGUUUUCUUUUUUAUUUUAUUUUCCAUAAAUCUCAGAUAACCACCUCCUAAGUCUGUGUGAUCUUUUUCCACUACUUUAGUAAAUUUACCAUUGUAAUUAUAAUUUAAAUAUAACUUUCCUAUCCUUGCUAUAUAAAUUAACAUAUAUCGAAUGUUUAUAACCUUUGGUUAACCCGGUUUUUGUAAAUUUGUGCGUGUUAACCAACUAUGUAUAUAUCUAUGCUUUAGAGGAAAGUUUACAGAAAACAGAGAAAUAUAAUAAUAUAGAGCUUUGACUCAAACAGGGGAAUACAAGGUCAAAGAAUCAAACGAGAAUUGAAAAUGUUGGUCACACAAAACCAACGACAACAUGUUCCUCGAGCUACAAUAUUUUAUACACGAACUUAGUGUUUUAGUUUGUUUGCUUGGUUUUGAUUAGAUUUUUUUACUUUGGCUAUAAUUCAUGAUAUUAUCAAAAUUCUUUUCUCUGCAAGCUUCAACACUAACAAUUGCUUAUUCAGAUACAGACGAAACUAUAAACUAGCUAUGGACUGUUUUUUUUUAAAUUCAUGACUUUAUUUAAAAUAUUAAGUUGAUUUUUUAACAGUUGGGUAUAAAAAAUAACAUCUUUUGAAUACAUUUGUAUAUACAAAAUUCUUAUAUUUCUAUAAAAUAAUGAGAUUAACAAUAAUAUUUUUUUUUUGUAACUGAUUAACAAUAAGAUUUUAUUGUUGUAACUUAAUAGAUCUCGAAAACCAAAAAUAGUAUAUUGUUGUAACUUAAUAUAUCUCGAAUAAUCUAUAUCCCUAGAAUAUUUCUAAUUAUAAACAAUUUUAAUAUGUUUACUAUCCUAUUAAUUUUCUAGCGAUAAGAAAUAUAUAAAUAUCGAAUCAAACACAACAAAUAUAAUCAUUCUAAACCUUCAAACGCUCUAUACCCUGAUCUACACUUAUGAAUUCUGUUAUCAAAAUCUGUAACUUGAGUGAUGUUAAACCUUUCAAAUAUGCAUGGAGAGUUCGGGUGAAAGUGGUUCAUACAUGGAAGUCAAACAAUCUCAAAAAUGGUUAUUCUCUUGAGAUGGUCUUAACAGAUGAAAAUGUAAGCUAUAUUCACUAACUAUCGUCCAUUUUAACUAUAUUUAAUAUGUGAACUUUAGCGUCUUUUUUUUUACAGACGAAAAUAUAAGCUAUAUUCACUACCUAUCGUCUAUUUUAACUAUGUUUAAUAUAUGAACUUCCCUAUUUAGAUGGAUUAUAUUUAGUUUCUCUUUCUUGAAUCUAUUUAGUAUUUUAAUCUGCUUUUGUUAGGCUUUGCUUUUGUUCAAUGUGCUUCAUCUAUGGCUAUAAAUAUAUUUCUUUCAUAUGAGUAUCGGUCUUUACUCGGCUUAUGAGUAAAAUAUCUCUGCUUGGAAGAAAUUUAAUGGAUUUGGAGUUGGUUUUUUGACCCAGGUGAGAAUCAGAGGCUGGCAUUCUCCGAUGGGAGCGGUCCGAGAAUGUGUCUCUCUUUAGAUCUAUCAGAUUUUCCUGUGUUUUGAUCACUGGCGAGUCAAGUUCUUCAGUCCAAAAGCAUUUAUUAUGAGCAAAAGAGAUGUUGCUCUGGGAGUACAAGGCUACGGAAGAUCGCGGCUUACGGAAGAAACGAAGACAUCACCAGUGGUUCGAUUUCAGGGAGGACUUCCGCCGGUAGACCAAAACAGAUUUGGUUAGUGGUUCUCAUUUGUUUUAAAAGCAUUUCUGGCCUCUAAACUUAACAACUUUGUACUCUCUUCUUUUAAUCUUACAUAGCAACUUUGUACUCUUUUUUUUGUUAACUAGCAACUUUGUACUCAUUUCCUGGAUUUUGAGCUUUAUAAAUGGUAUGUUGAAAAAAAAUGAAAAAAUGUAAAUAUGGUUUACCUACAAGCGAUCGAGCUAUACUUUUCUCUUCAAAUUUUUUUCACAUUUACCCAUGAUUAACAUUAUUUAUAUUUUAGUUUCUCAUAAACUUUCUUCCCUAUUAACUUUAUAGGAAACAAUGUUUCUUUCCACGGACUACAAUGAUAGAUAAACAUACUUUUCAAAAUUUUAUAGAUGAGGCAACAUUGAUUUCCAACUUAUUUGAAUCUGUUGCUAGAUGAAAUGAGUAACAUGAUAAAUACGAACCAUGAGAAAUAUGGUUUAAGCUUUGAUCAGCCAACAAAAUUAAAUAUAUCCCAUAUUUAUAUCUGGUGUAAAUAUGGAGACAUGUUUUAAACUCCACGAAUUUUGUUAGUAUCUUAGAAAAUAUUACCAUCCACAAAAUAUAGGAACUUCCAUAAUCUCCUACAAUUAUAAUCCUAUUAGUAUUUUGUGCAGUUCCAGAAAUCUAUGCGUAAGCUAUAUGUAUAAAUAGUAUCAUACCUAACAUUUUUUUAUGAUAUCAAUGUUCCAAGAAAAAACCAGUCAUGUAUUCUAAGAAAUCACUGUUUUAAAAAUGACAACAGUAAUAAAUACUUAUUCUGUUUCAAAAUGUUACAUGUUUUUAGAUUUUCAUAAUAAAGCAUAUUAAAUCUUAGUAUUAAAUGCAUAUUUUUGUGAUUAACUAUUUUACACAAUUUUUAACCAAUCAAAAUUCAAUAAAUAAGUUUACAAUUUACCAUUAUUAUUUAGUAACAAAUGCACUGGAAAGAUAAAUAAUAUAUUUUUGAAACAAACUCUAAACCAUCGAUUAUUUUAGAACUCAGGGAGUAUAAAUCAAUUAUUUGAAAUGCACAAAAAAAAAAGAUUAUACCAACAAAUUUAUGCUUCAGCGUAUAAACUGAAAACCAAAAACGAACUGAAACAGAACCAAAAAAAGUGAAACCAAACAAAAAAUAACAAAACCAAAAAUUAAUCAGUGUUCACACAUAUCUAAAUGGUUUAUACCCAAAUAUAAUAAAUACAUUUUAUAUACCUAAAAAUAUUGAUUAUAUUUAGAUUUAAAAUUAUAAAAUAUUUUAAACACUAAGAUAUAAAAUAUAUUGUAUUAUUCAAUAGACUUUUAGUUGAAAGUUUCCGAAAAAUUCUUAUUUUAAUUAUAUUCGAUUAUGUUUUAUUUCAGAUAUAUAUAUAUAUAUAUAUACAUAUUAUAUGAUAAUCUAUACUAUAUAUUGAGAAAGUAUUUAUUAUUUACUCAUCCCAUUAUUUAUUAUUUAAUCAUCCCAUUUGUAACCGUGAUUUAUAGAAAUGUGAAUGGUUCCCAUUUUUCUAAAUCCAAAGAGCUAAAACCAAACUGAAAAUCAAACGGGUAUCCAAAUAUUAAACAUAAUAUAAUAUUAAUUUAUAUCUGUAUAGAAUAUAAUUUACCAAAAAAAAUAUCCACCCCCCCCCCUCCUCCCAAAUUACAUGAAUUACCUGGUUUUCAGUUUAACUCAGGGUUUUUUUUUGCGUUUUUUGUAUUUUUUGCUUUAAAUCCAAAUUAAAGCCUAACUAUUUUAAUUCGGCUUACUUCGGUUUUAAUAAAAAAUAAAAACCCGACUCGAACUACAGAUCGCCCGAAUUGAUCUAAUUCAAAAAAUGUAUGGUUCUCCUAAACGGGUCCUAACACCCCAACCCCAAUAACUUAAAAACUGAAUAACCCUAACUGAGACGAACUUUAAACCUGAAUGCCUAUCACUAUGAAAAGUUAAAAUAAAUUACUCUCGGUUAAGUAUGUCAAAACUCAAAUAAAAUAAAAUUCAGACCAUAACUUAGUAACUGUUAAAUAAAAAAAUUUAAUCAAAAUAUUAUCCCGCGCUUUAAAAGCGCGGGUCAAAAUCUAGUUACUUUGUUAAACUUGUAGGCCAAAUCUUAUUGGUAAAUUUUUUUCUCUCUCUCACCCUCCUCACCACAACGACCCAUUCCCUCUUCGAAACCCCACCCAGAUUUUUUUUUCUCAACCCUAUUGCUAAACUGUACAUUCAUGCGGUGUGUCUGGGUCUUGUGGAAGUUCUUGGAAGAGUUUUUUUACAGCUUAAAAAACAAGAAAAAGCAGAGAGAGAGAGAAAGUUAGAGAAGAAGAACCAAUAUACAGUGUACGAGUCUCUGUACUUUCACAAGCUUCCAAGCUCCAUCACUGCACUCUUUUUUUUUUACCAUCACUGCACUCUUCCAAAUCUUUCAGAAUAUUAUUUUCUUUUCCAUCACUUCUUACCCGAUCAUUAUCACCAAGGACUCUCUUGUGACUGAGAGGUCUCUCUCUCAAGAUUUGAGUAGAGUCUACUACCCUUUCGAUGGAUUACGAGCGAAUCGGAAAGACCCAGGUUACUAGCGGCGGCUUUUCUCCGGGGAAGUUAAGGACUAUGCUUCUCGGUGUUGAUACAAAGAAGAAACAAGAACCUGGGUCAAAUCAAAUUCUUGACCUUGGUAACACUUUUUUUCCCCCUUUUUUGUGUUAAUCUAGGGUUUAUGGUGGAGCCCCUUAAUCAUUUUCUUAAUACCCUUUUUAAAAUGUCUUUGUCCCCAUUUGCUUAAUGGAAAAUCUUUAAAUAUUUAUUUCUUUCAAGAACUUGAAAAUGGUAUCUUCUUGUUUAUUUAGUUACUUGCUUUUCUAUAGAUUUCGGUUCAAUUCAUUCUAUUUUUUUUUUAAAAAUAGCAUUAAGAUAUAAAUUAGAGCUAGUUUAGACAAUCAUAAAAAAAUAAUUGAAAUUCUAUAGUUUUUCUUAAAUUUUUAUCACAAAAAAAAACCUUUAGAAAAGAAAAAUGACGAAAAUAAAUUUUAUUAAAGAGUAAAAAUUCAUUUUAACCUUAGAAUUAACUAAUAUAAACUUAGGAUUUAGAGUUAAAAGAUAGAGUUUUGGAAACAGAAUUUCAAAUUUAAAAUAUAUUAAAAAAUAUUAAAAAUUUUAAAAUAAAAUGAAGCUAUUUUUUUCGAAGUAUGAUAAAAACUUAAAAAUAACUAUUUAAUAUAAUUAUUCUUAUUUUUUUACUUUUCCAAAACAUGUGUUUUUCAUAUAACUUUAUGAUUGGUGAACAAUUUACCGUUUUUAUAUUAACUUCGGAAACCGCACAUAAUAAAUCACUAGCAAAACAAAAACAAAAAAGUAAUUUCAUCACCUUUUCGAGAAACAUAGAACAAAAAGAGAAAUAUUAUAUUCUUGGUAACCGAAAACGCCGCAAUUAAUCAUUCCCCUUUUAAUAAUACUAGAAAUUUUACCCGGGAUUUAUACCAAUAACAUUGUAUGUAAUAUCUAUAUUACAAUAUAUUGCAUCUAGAUUAUAAAAAAUAUAAAUAGUAAAUUGAAUAGAAAUGAAUAAAACUCACAUUUUUUUACUAUCUAAAAUAUGUAUGAGAUGGUGAACAAAUGAGAAAUGAAUGAAGAAUUUGUUAAUCCGUAGUUAUGAUCCGAAAUAAUUUUUGUUAAAUAUGUUUAGAUUAUUAUGAGAAAAUGUUAUUAAUCUCAACAUCACAUAUUUCUUUGCUAUAUGUAUUAUUUAUAUCAUGUUAAUUUUUGUAUUUAUAUGGUAUUUAAUCUUGUAUAAUAUAUUAUUUUACGAUUAUAAAUCAAUUUUUACAAUUAUAAUAAGUAAUAUAAUUAAAAUAUUAAUUGCUUUAAAUAAAAAUUUUUUUAUAAAGUUGUAUGUGUUAAAUAAACUGAAAUUUUAGGAAAAUAUUAUUAUUUACUAUUUUAUUUGUUUAGUUAUAAGCAGAAAAAUAUCUUAGAAUAUAGCUAUAGUUAAAUUAUUAUUGUGGAUUAAAAUUUAGUGUAAAAAGAUUGUAAAAAUAUGUAGAUAUAUUAAUUUUAUUUAAUUCGUUGAUCUUUAGUUACUGGAUUUGUGAAAUUAUGAAACCAAAAAUUGAUUUUGAUUACUAAUACCCUAAAAGAGAGUAAUUUAAUUUGCUGUUCAUUUUUUUUUCUCAGAAAAGUCUAUACAAUCCAUUACACUAUAAUAACCAAACCAGACAGAUACUUUAUAUGGAAGUAACAUGUCUAACCAAAAUAACAAAUAUUAUAACUAAGUAAAAUAUUAAUCAAUUACUGUAUGUGCUUAUUUUAGAUUAUGUACAUGCAAAGAGAAAAUUACCUAGUAUAGUAAAUGAAACUAAUAUUAUUUAUAAGUUAAGAUAUGCAUGUCACAAUGUGUUAAACAAAACAAUGACUUAUUUUGAUAUUUAUAAUAAAUAUAAAGUUUCAGUUGUUUUUGUAAUCAUCUUCACUAUGUGUUCCUGGACUUUAAAGCAAGGAAACGAUAUUUUUUUUAUAACACAUUUGGCAUUAUUGUAUCUCUGAGUUGCAACAAACCACCUAAACUAAUUCCCACGUAACAUGUAUAGC